GGGGCUGUAGCUCAGUGGUAGAGCGCUAGCUUCGCAUGUUAGAUGUCUCGAGUUCAAUCCUCGACUGCUCCA